rnacentral:rRNA from 1 species
AUUGAACGCUGGCGGCAGGCCUAACACAUGCAAGUCGAACGAGUGGCGGACGGGUGUGUAAUGUCUGGGAAACUGCCUGAUGGUGGGGGAUAACUACUGGAAACGGUAGCUAAUACCGCCUACCAUCGUAUGUGGCCAGAUGGGAUUAGCUAGUAGCGGUGGUAAAGGCUCACCUAGGCGACGAUCCCUAGCUGGUCUGACAGGAUGACCAGCCACACUGGAACUGAGACACGGUCAAGCCUCCUACGGGAGGGAGCAGUGGGGAAUAUUGCACAAUGGGCGAAAGCCUGAUGCAGCCAUGCCGCGUGGAUGAAGAAGGCCUUCGGGUUGUAAAGUACUUUCAGCGGGGAGGCGUUACCCGCAGAAGAAGCACCGGCUAACUCCGUGCCAGCAGCCGCGGUAAUAC